GGCUCCGUAGUGAUAUCACGCUAAAUUGCAAAUUUAGAGAGGCACCUAUAAAGGGUGCCGGGGCUU
rnacentral:tRNA from 1 species